rnacentral:lncRNA from 1 species
CGCGAGAGCGCUGUGACGAAGCUACCGCGGCCCCGCAGGCGUGAGGGAGGGGAGGGGGUGCGGCUGCCGGCUGCCAGCGGAGGGCUUGGCGGGGCCAUCCAGUAGGGGAGCGGGAAGGAGCUUUACGGAGCGUUUGAUCUAACACGGGGAUGAUUAACAAAGAUGGACAACAGCAUUAUAGUCACUUUGGGCAGCUGAAGCUGACCACGUAAGUGCAGCAUACCAAGUCAGGCGAGGAAGGGGCAUAAAAUUUGCCCUCUGAAAAAAAAAGAGAAGAAACACCCCUCACUUGCAGAAAGAAAAUUCUGACUGGGAAAUACCAGGGAGCUUGUAUGAAAAGCAGUAAGACAAACAGAUCUGAUCUCUUUGUGGCCCAUGUCAAAAUUCCUCUGGAUGGCAGCAAGACUGGGAUCCAACUGGAAUCACGCAGAUGCAGCUGCCAGGAAACACGAGUAACCUGUGUGCAUGACUACCUUUGUGUUUACACUUCGUGCAUCUUCCAGCAAUGCACCUCUUUUUGGGACAGGGCAGUUUUUAAGUCUGAUCCUCUCAGUGUGCUGCUGGUUGUGCACCCACACAAACGGGGGAACCAGCUGGACACAGGUCUCGCCAACUCUUUCUGAGAUGUGUUGCAGAUGGAGCACAGAGACUCUCAGACUCUAAGGUGAUAUAUGAAUCCUGAGGCAAAAGAAGACCUGAACCCAAACAAUCAACUGAGGCUUUUACCAUCUGACCAACUUCCUCUACAGUCUUACUGGAUGAUAAUGAAAAAUAAGUGGUUCAUUUCACCAAUAAUCUAAUAAUACAGAAUUUGUAUUAUAUGCAUAUGCGUACACAUGCAAAAGAUAGAAAUUUGUUUGUAUUUUUUUAGGUAAUAUUUAUGACCUAAUGACUUUUUAUGUAAUAUAUGCACUGCUUCUGUAGAUACAAAUUAUAGAUAGACAUAUGCUUUUAAAAUGUGCUAGUAUGACACUUGUAUGACAUGUCUCUCAAUGAAGAAUUAAUAUUUCUUACUUUUUUUCUCCUUUCAUUUCUCAUUGCAAUGCACAAGAAAGCAGUUUCAGCUUAUUUUGGCGGAGGUGCACUUAGAAAUGUGUAGCGUUUAUUUGCAGUACUGCUCUCACAAAAUGUUGCCAUGCUGUGGCACUUCUUUGAAGUUCUUCUCUGAAAGGUUCUUUGCAAAGGCUGUGUAGGAGGCUUUGCAACCGGGAGGUUUGGAAUUGUUUUUCUGAAAAUUAUUCUGAAAAGUCUGUCCUUUUCAAGGUCUUGGCCAGGUGCACAGCUAUUUUCCUCUUUCCAUUUCCUUUAACUCUGCAGCACAGAAUAAUAGGCCCUAUCUGAAAUUUUAUAUAUGUAAUGCAUUGCAGACUCUGCCACAUACUUCCCUUUUCAGCAGGCUUAUUGAACACCAAGGCACUUGCAGUGAUUCUUCUGUCAGCCUAACAUUCAGUCUCUCAGAGAUCAGCCAAACGUAGGGACCAGUUCUACCACCACCACGCUCAUGGUGCUUUCUUUACAUUACAUUCCCAAACGUCAAUGGAUCUCUCAUAAAUUGCUAUGAUCUGUGUCAAGAUAGAGUUCUCAGCAUGUGUCUCAUGCUCACCUGCAUCACCAAACAGCCUCACAAGGAAGGUGUCUCCAUGAAUACUGACCAGCCAGCAACAGCACUGCAGCCAGUCCCCUGAGAGAAAGCUCCCUCCAGUUUUGACCACUGCCACAGAAAGGAGAACGAGAGCCCCCAACGCACUCCAAUGCUAUUCUUCAUGGGAUCUCAGCUCAUCACGACACAGAAGAAGAAACACUAGAAACUGACUUGUAACCAGUGCUCUUCACUCAGUGUUGUCAAGCACAUGUGUCACUGGGCUGGUAGAUUAAACCUGUGUCCAUAAUGAAGAGGAGGAGCCAAGUGGUCCACCAGUAAAGAUCCCAGUCUGCUUCAGUUGGUUCCUUUCCUGAUGGAUGCCACAAAUAUCCUGCACAGAACACAGCACAGACCACGUUAAUGCAGCACACCAGGGUGGCAGUGGCACUCUUCUAAGGCUGUUCCUCCAGGAAGCUCACCAACAUCCUUGCAGGAUCAGUCUGAAGCUACGCUUUGACACUUUGCCUUUUGCAUAGAGAGGCGGCCCUAAGGUUUUUGCAUACAUUGAUACGUACAUGAAAAAGCAGAUACUUGCCCUAGUCCCAGGCACUUGCAGUAAAGAUCCAUAGAGAACUUGAAUAAUCAUAAUUUCUUAGUGCAUUAAAGAGUUCAGACUACAGAAAGAAGACAUUUCCGAGAAACAGAUUUUAUAGACUGAGCUGAACAGAUUUUUGGCAUUAUUUGUAAGCCAGUCAUUGUUAAGCCUUUGUACUUAGAAGAGCAAUUAUGACUCCUUUGGAAACAUCCUUAGUUGAACUCUUAAAAUAAUAAAAACACUCCUCCGUAAGACCACAUUAACAUAUGGUUUUCGUAAUGACAGCACAAACAAAUCACCCACUCAUCAAACACAUUUAGGAAGAAGACAGGAACAAACAGAGCAAAAAUUUUCUAAAGAUUACUUAGAGGUCCUGAUCAGUCAGGGAAAAAAAGAAAAGAAAAAAGUGAACUAAACUGAAUUCAGGUCCUGUCUAUAGGAUAUUGAAUACAGACAAAAUAUGCAACAUACAAAUAACCAAAAUCAAGAAUACCACUAAACUUUGUAAGGCAAAGUUUAUAGAUAUUAAGCUGCAAAACUGUAUUUCAAAAAAAUGUCAAGCUGUGGAUGCCUAGCUUCCUAGUUUACUUUUGAACGUUGGUGAUGCAUCAUCAGUAAGCAAGAAAGAGACAAGGUGUGUUUGCACCAGUGACCAGCUGGAAUACCUUUGCUGGACUUACCACCCCCCAGUACUUUGCAGUUAUCAGGAGGAAAUUCACUUAGUGUUACUUCAGCCAAGAAGAGGAACCCCAGAAGAAGCUUUAGGAGGACUCUUCAGAAGCUUGAGGGUUAUGUGAAUGUAUCCUGCUGCAGCCUUACCUGCCACUUAGCACUGGCUUUGUUUAAUAAUUAAAUUGCAGGCACUGUGGACUCAGCACAUGUUGCUUUGGAGAUGCCUUUGGUUCUUACCUGUGCAGUGAGAAGUUUUUAAACAUUCUUUAUGAGGCUUUGUCUUUUCAUACAUUUUUGUUUGAUAGUUUAAACUACUACUGCUUAAUCUUUACAACAGCCAUCCGCUCUCCACCCUUUCUUCCUCGCCUCCAAUAUGGUUUGUGGUGGGAACUCUGAUUUCAUUAGGAUAACAAAUUAAAAUGAAAGAGACUGUUAUAGAAUUAGAGAAUACAAAAUGGAAAUGCAGAAUUUAUAUGGUGAUCCUAAUACAGAAAAAAAUAAAUCAUAAGUAAAUAACAUUUUUCAAAGGUAAGAAAAGUGACAAGGGAAGUUUGAAGACAUUCAGCACACACACAAAAAAAAACAAACAUCAGAAGUCUCAUAUGGAGAUGGCACUAGACAAAAGAAUAGGUAUUUCUUAGUAUAAUACCUACAGAGAAGAGGAUUGCCAUUUUAACAUCUUCCCAGUGCGUCACAGAUUGGAUUAUGGCACUGCUCUGCCAAGUCAUCAAGAGCUGGGAUAACUCCUGAUGGAAGCAUUUACUUCUGCUCCAAAAAUCACCUGCUUGCAGAAGAGUCAUCAUCCCCUCCUCCAGUGCCUGGAGCCACUGGGGUGUCUGAAGGUUAGCGGCUCUCCACUCUCUUACUCCUUGAGUAAGGAGUGAGUUGCUUGUUGUGUUGUGGGGUUUUUUUAUUGUUUGCAAGCUCAGUAUCCCAUGUAUGUUCUCUUGCAAGCUGUGACAGUGAAGUUACCUAUUACAGGUGCUUGAUCAAAUGAUGAAUACACAGGCUGAACUCGCAGUCAUGAAUUAUAGAGCAAAGAAAGAUUUUUUUUUUUCUUUUGAUCCUCCUUAUGCUCCAAGGAAACUCUUUGCUUCUAAAGAGCUUUUAAAGGUGAACUCAAAAUGUGGCCAGAGUUUAAACUGCUUAACUUUCUUUGAAAAACUGUUCCCUGCAGAUAGCUUGAAGAAAGCACCUCUGAGCAUUUAAUUUGACUGGAUUUUAGGGGGAAGGGGGAUUAUACAGCUACUGAGCUUCAAUAAUAUGUGAUCUUCUCAGGAAGGUCUAACAUGAUUACGCAAACAUCACGUCGGUGCUGGCCAAAAGCCCUCCAAAGCACACUGAAUUGCUGGAGUCAUGAGGUUUCCCUGUCUUUGCACAGAUUGUGAGGUUUGCAGGAGGCAAGAGUAAUCCUGAUGGCACUGUCCAUACUGGCAUCAAGCUGAUCCCACAGGCAGUGCCAGCAGACCCUGUGCAGCCAUACGGCAGGCUCAGCAGCCACCCUACAGCAUCUGAGGACCUGGCAGAACCAAGCACCCUGCUCGUGGCUGCAGGAGACCUCUUGCACCCUCCACAGUUGACGCCUUCCCACCACAGCUGUCAAUUUCCUGUGUUGGGAACUGGGUGCAUCCUGUCCCCAGAAGAGAGGUACCAGAAUACCCAACCUGCUGAAAAGUCUUAUUCUGGCUGCUUUCCCAAAUCCUUCCUUUCAUCUUGUUACCUGGCCAUGACGCAGCAAGAGUAGACAAAAGGAUGCAAAGCUGCCUGGUGCAUGUGUGGUACAUGCAGGUGGGAUCCAAAACAAAUGACCUUCAAGGAAGGUCAUGCAAAAAGGGCUGCAAAGGCUUGUGAAAAAGGGAACACGAAUGCACCUGAUAUGAUGUGUGGGUAUCCUAAGAGUACAGCACUAAGGGGCAUGGCCAAGAGAAGCGUGCAGAUGUGGCAGUUGUUACCAACAAGCAGGAUGAGCCCCAUGGUCAGGGGGACCUCGUGAUAGAGGCGUUAGGUUUGAUGUUGUAGUUGGGCAGCUAACUGCAUAGAAUCAUAGUCCCAUGUCCCUCAGUGCCACAUCUCCUCAUUUCCUGAACAGUUCUGGGUACAGUGACUCCAUCACCUCCCAGGGCAGGCAGCAUGAGAUAAAGACACAGAUAACAGAUAGAUAACAAGAUGACACCUAGGCUUCACACCAAAUUCAGCAGUUUGUCAAGGUACACUGAUGUGUUUGAUAAGACAAACUCCACUCAACAAGCAAACCAGUCCUUCUAGACUAGUUUCAAUCUCCAAGCUCAUGCAAACAAAAGUUGCAUGUGGAAUAUAAUGCAGUUGCUAAUACUAAUCUUUAAAAAAGUAUUGAUAAUAUAAACCUAUUAACUCUGAAGGGAAAAUGACAAAAUUGUUAUAUGAGGAAAAUUAUUUGAGAACUGCUCCUGCAUGUUUAUUUAAAAAGAGUGAAAACAAAUAUUAUGAAUUUGAACAACAGAAAUUAGAAAAAUAUCUAAGGCAGCAGGCUCAUGCAAUCCCAGCUCAAUCUUCUGCUUUCCUCCCUUGCCAGAAAGGCAUCUGAGUUGUAAUUCUUGCACAGGCUUAAGAUUGUCUGUCAGGCACUGGAUAAGAAAUGUCGAAGUAUGGGAUGAGACACAAAAGAAGGUUUAAAGGUGGCUAUGAUGACCAUACUGAAAAUCUCUUCUACAGCCUUGUUUACACAGUGAACGAGGGAAACAGAAGGUUGCAGCAGCUACAUAGGGUGCACUGAGGUAGAAGAGUAAAUAAUCAUAAAAAUCUUAUGGGAUCUCCCUGAGAGAGAGAAAUGGAGCCACUGAAAGCCAGACAUACAAACUGCUGUAGGUUUUGCAACUGCGUCAACACUUGUGAAAGUGAAAACAACCGAUAGGUCUGACUGUGUUAGUCCAAGCGCCUUCUCUGUUCUCACUCAGAUCAUCUGCUAUGGGAAUCAGCAUCAUGGAUGCAUGGACUCAGGGAUAAACUCAGACCAAGAAGAGUGAGGAAGACCCAAGAUAUCUCGGUAAAGGAAACAUUUCUGCCAUGUCCAGUCUUGGCUUCAUGAGAGAACACUGGAAGGCAGGUUUUUUUUUUUUUUUUUUACUUUUGUUGCAGCUUUUCACUGCACAACAUACUCCAAACUCUUCUUUCAACAACCUGCUAAUGUUAGGGGAAGAAAAAAAAAAGAUUGUAAUUCAUUUAGGAAUAAAAGCCAAAAAGCUUUUCGUUAUUGAUCAGGAAUUCAAUCAAGUAACAUCAUCAACAGCAAAAAAAAAAAGUAUGUGCUUAAACAUGAACAGUCCAAAGAUGUUAGUUGUCUGUCAAAACAAAUUGUCAGACAUAUUUGUGUUCUACACAGGAAUAGAUUUAUUGAAAAUCUUAAGUGGAAUGUUUGUUUCCACCAUCUACCAAAUAACGUUCUGUGGGGUUUUGUUCUGAGUACUGAGCAGCUGCAUCAGAAACUUUUUAAUUCAGGGAAGAGUGGCAGUUCCUUUUUGUCUCCUGUGUACCAGCUCUUAGGAAUUCCAGGAAAACUCUAUAAUCCCCAGCUCUCUCUGGCAUGCCACCACCUGAUCAUCACGAUCGCAAACAUUUGUAAUAAAAAUCAGUUAAUAUGCAAGCCACUAUUUUAUAUGCUAUCUUCAAUCCCAGAGAUGGUUUAAGAAGUACCUUCAUGUAGAACCUAUGUUUUUUUUUAUUCUUUUUGUGUCUGUUAAGGCUGGUAUAAUCACGAGGUUAAUUAGAAUCUUAAAUGCUUAGUUCCCAUGUUAAGAGAUUUGUCUCUAUUUAAAAAAAAAAACAAAAACAACUUCACAACAAGGGAAAAUGUAGGGUUUUUUUAAUUAUAAUUGGCCAUUUUGAAGAAAAUGUCUUGUAUAUUGGAAGCACGAGAGCCCAAAUGAGAGCCUAUAAACAUUUUAAAUAGGAAGUUUCCAAUUUUAUUAUUUAUAACACUUGAACUCCUUUACUUUCAAGACGUUCAUAUUACCACAAAGCUCCUGAAGCCAUACUUAUCAGGCCAUCUACUAUUAUGUUAUUAGUAUAAAGAUUGUACAGAACUGCACACAAUAAAAAACUAAUAAAAAACAGUAAAAUAACACUGUGUGGCUUCUCUUCAAACAUCAUUAGCACUCAACUUUGCGUUGAAGGGAG